rnacentral:lncRNA from 1 species
UUUAUAAUAUAGUAAAUAUUGGUAAAUAACUCAAGUUUACAAAGUUCUAUGGUGUUAUAAAUAAUUAUAAAAAUGUAAAAAAAAAUAAUUAUAAAAAUGUAAAAUGGGGACACCUGGGUGGCUCAGUGGUUGAGUAUCUGCCUUUGGCUCAGGUUAUGAUCCCAGGAUCCUGGGAUCGAGUCCCACAUGGAGCUCCCCACAGGGAGAGCCUGACGUGGGAUUUGAUCUUGGGUCUCCAGGAUCACGCCCUGGGCCAAAGGCAGGUGCCAAACUGCUGUGCCACCCAGGGAUCCCUAAAUAAAAUCUUAAAAAAAAAAAAGUAAAAUUGGGGCAGCCCCGGUGGCUCUAUGAAUAAAUAAAUAAAAUCUUUAAAAAAAAAGUAAAAUUGUUCUCAGACAAAAAUGUUUGAGAGAGUAGGAAGUAGAGGCUAAUUGGGGACGCUACAGAAUUGGGGUUCCAGAGAGAAAUGAGGGUUGGGAAGAGGUGAGAGGCCUGAACCCAGGGAACCCUGAGUCAAAGUAUACAAGGGAGCCUAGCAUCACAGUGGCCCAUUCUGCCUUUGGAUGACAAGGCCAGGGCUAUAAGUCUCUGAGUUUGGUGAUAACCAAAAAUAUUCUGAGGAUUGUCAUGUAUGAUAUUAACUGGUUAUUAUUUUGGUUGGUCCAGAAAGAUGAUUUUUGGAGGCAUAUGCAUAACCAUGUUUUUAUUUUCAUAGUAAGUUGCAUAUACAAACAAAAGAAUAAAGCAGACAGAUCUUUGAAAUCAAUAGUGAAAAGCCUAAUAUGAGUGCUAAAAGCAGCUCAUGCUGGCCCAUGAGAGCCAAUUGUUAAAAUUUCAAUUUUGUAAUCUGCUGUUCAACUAUAACCAUUAUUAAAAAUUUCAUUAUAUCAGCUUACAAUUAAGCUUGUUGCAGUAAAAGAAAAUAUUAAACUCAUUCAAAACUCAUCGCUUUCUAAUAACUUUAUGACAUUUUACUAUUCAUGCUCUUUUUUUAAAAAGAUUUUAUUUAUUCAUGAGAGACACAGAAAGAGAGAGAGGCAGAGACACAGGCAGAGGGAGAAGUAGGCUCCAUGCAGGGAGCCCAACGCGGGACUUGAUUCCAGGACUCCAGGAUCGCGCCCUGGGCUGAAGGCGGCGCUAAACCGCUGAGCCACCUGCGCUGCCCUCAUGCUCUUGAAUUAAGGUACGCUUCUUGUAUCGCUGUGGCAGUAACACUAUAUAAGAGUAUGCUGUGGUGCCUCUUUGCCGGACCCAGCAUUUAGUAACAUCAUGUUAGUAGCUUGAAAUCAGCCAUGGGGGAUGUACUUACAGCACAGAAAUUACUUACAAACACAGAGUUUGACGUAUUGUUAUUUAUUUGUUAAUUAUCACAUUCAUUCAUCAAUUGUAACUAUAGGUUAUGGAGACAAGAGUAAAGGAAAGACCAAUGAAAGCAUUCUUUGAGGAUUGAUUGGCUAUAUGGAAUUGAUAAUAAACUGUAUUGUAUAUUUUAUUAUGUAUAAGUUGUGUGUUACACAUCGUUUAUAUCAGUAAAGUUUAUAAUAAAUAUAUCGGUACUUUUUUUCCCUGAAGAGCUGAUUGUUAAACAUUUACCAAACACACUACUCAACUGAGGUCCACUGUCCCUGAGACUAGCAGUGGGAUGAGGGUAUGCAACACAGAGGACGGCCUGCUCCCUCACCCCUGGCCCUGAACUGUCUGAUGGGGAGUCAGAUACGAAGGUAAUAAUACAGCCCUGGGUGAUGAGGAAGGAAGGUGCUGAGGAAUCUAGUCCAGGGAGGUGUCCAGAGGAUCUGAGACUCACAUGGGCGCUCAAAGGAUGAGUAAGAAUCAGCUAGCCAAAGGAACACCAUGAGCAAUGCUCAGCUGUGGGCAGGAACAAUAGCGACAGAGGAUGGAAAGUUGAGGACCCCCGGGCGUGCUAUGCCUGCAGUUAGUGGGGUCAGGUUUGGAUGGGCAAUUCUGUGCUAAUUCGACAAGUAAACAGUAGGUGUUGCAUGUUCAGAGCUUCUGGCUAGACUGUAAAAGGUGGCGGCGAUGAACAUGAGCUGCACAGGCCAUCCGGCUCCCCUGCACCCAGCUCUGCUGCCUGCUGAACAACCAGGCUGGUGGCCAAGCAGCUCUUGCCAGGGUUAGUCACUGCGGGCGUGGCUGCCCCCAAGUGGUCCAUCGGAGGCACUGCUGGGAGCAGGAAGGAAGCACUGAGAAGCCACCGUGGACUAGGGCCUGUGACACCCACAAGAGGUUGGGGAUUGGGAAUUGUACUUGUUUCCUACACUCAAGCUGUUCCAGUGAUCCCCAUCUUUUCAAGCUAACAAAACUGAGUUAUAACCUACACACAAUAGAGUACACAGAUCUUCAGUUUUCAGUUUAAUAAGUUUUGAUAAUUUUAUAUUACUUGUAACUACGACCCAAAACAAGAUCUAGAAUAUUUCUAUCGCCCCAGAAAAAAUUGUUCUCUUUUUAGUCAGUCAACUCGCCCCUCCCACCCACCCCACAAUCAGCAGCCCCUAGGUUCAUUUGUAUCACAUUAACUUUCCAGUUGUUAAACUUCAUGUAAGUGGAAUCAUAUAGUAUAGCUUUGUUUUGGUUUUUUUGGUCUGGCUUAUUUUGCCUAAUAUAAUGUAUUUUAGAUUCAUUCAUUUUUUUUAAAUGAAGAUUUUUUUUUUUAAGAUUUAUUUAUUUAUUCAUUCAGAGAGAGCGAAGAGAGAGGCAGAGACACAGGCAGAGGGAGAAGCAGGCUCCACGCAGGGAGCCUGAUGUGGGACUCGAUCCUGGGUCUCCAGGAUCACACCCCGGGCUGCAGGCGGCGCUAAACCACUGCGCCACCAGGGCUACCCUUUAGAUUCAUUUAUAUUGCUGCAUGUAUCCAUUGCUCAUUCAUUUUUCUCCUUGAGUCAUAUUAUAUUGUAUGAAUAUAUAAUAAUUUGUUUAUCCAUUCUCUUGUUGCUGGCUGUUUCCAGUUUUCA